rnacentral:rRNA from 1 species
CCUACGGGAGGCAGCAGUGAGGAAUAUUGGUCAAUGGGAGGGAUCCUGAACCAGCCAAGCCGCGUGAGGGAGGAAGGUCCAGUGUGUCGUAAACCUCUUUUGUCAGAGAACAAAACCUGGGACGCGUCCCCGGCUGCGUGUACCUGAAGAAAAAGCAUCGGCUAACUCCGUGCCAGCAGCCGCGGUAAUACGGAGGAUGCGAGCGUUAUCCGGAUUUAUUGGGUUUAAAGGGUGCGCAGGCGGUCCGUUAAGUCAGCGGUAAAAUGCCGGGGCUCAACCCCGGCCCGCCGUUGAAACUGGCAGUCUCGAGUUGGAGAGAAGUACGCGGAAUGCGCGGUGUAGCGGUGAAAUGCAUAGAUAUCGCGCAGAACUCCGAUUGCGAAGGCAGCAUGCCGGCGCCACACUGACGCUGAGGCACGAAAGCGUGGGGAUCGAACAGGAUUAGAUACCCGUGUAGUC